AAUACAUGCAAGUCGAGCGUGACAGAAGGGAGCUGUGCUCCCGUGAUGUUAGCGGCGGCACGGGUGAGUAACACGUGGGUAACCUGCCUGUAAGACUGGGAUAACUCCGGGAAACCGGAGCUAAUACCGGAUAGUUCCUUGAACCGCAUGGUUCAAGGAUGAAAGACGGUUUCGGCUGUCACUUACAGAUGGACCCGCGGCGCAUUAGCUAGUUGGUGGGGUAAUGGCUCACCAAGGCGACGAUGCGUAGCCGACCUGAGAGGGUGAUCGGCCACACUGGGACUGAGACACGGCCCAGACUCCUACGGGAGGCAGCAGUAGGGAAUCUUCCGCAAUGGACGAAAGUCUGACGGAGCAACGCCGCGUGAGUGAUGAAGGUUUUCGGAUCGUAAAGCUCUGUUGUUAGGGAAGAACAAGUGCGAGAGUAACUGCUCGCACCUUGACGGUACCUAACCAGAAAGCCACGGCUAACUACGUGCCAGCAGCCGCGGUAAUACGUAGGUGGCAAGCGUUGUCCGGAAUUAUUGGGCGUAAAGGGCUCGCAGGCGGUUUCUUAAGUCUGAUGUGAAAGCCCCCGGCUCAACCGGGGAGGGUCAUUGGAAACUGGGAAACUUGAGUGCAGAAGAGGAGAGUGGAAUUCCACGUGUAGCGGUGAAAUGCGUAGAGAUGUGGAGGAACACCAGUGGCGAAGGCGACUCUCUGGUCUGUAACUGACGCUGAGGAG
rnacentral:rRNA from 1 species